ACGCUGUAGACGAAGGAUUAAUGGAAGGUUUACAAAUUUAAAUUUAAUUUCGAAUUUCGUUGACUACAACAACUGAACUAGAUUGCACACCUAGGACAGCUAACACAUACAGUUUGAAUGGAACAGUUUGGACUGAAUUAAGAGCACAAAUGUCACUUAAUAUGUAAGGUUUGUUUACAACAAACUAAUGUUUGAUGAAUGUCGCUGUCCAGCGAAUGUUUGUCACUGAUGCUCGAGACCCGAAACAAAACAUGUCACUCAAAAGUAAUCAGGAUAAACUCCUCACUAGCCUGCAGUGAUGGCUUUCAGACUGCUGGUCCUCUUCAUGAUGUUUGGUACGAACAGCAGUCCAGAUGCUCUCUCGAUGCUCUCGAUGGGAACCAGGAAGCGUUCCAGUGGAAUCUUCUCAUCGACCGGCAUAUUGGGCAUCACAUAGGACCGCAGCUCCACGUCUCCUCUUGUCUUUUCAAGAAUCACAACCUUAAAAAACUAAAAGCCUUUUUAAAUGGGUAACAGCUUGUCAAGCAUCAGUACGGCAUCAUCAUCAAAACACUAGAAGUCAGCAAGCCUCCACCUGCCCUGCUGACUUCACUGCUUGAUUCAAGAAGAUAGUUUAAGGAGCCGCCACAUGAUCAGAAUAUAGAGCACCAUUACAGCCAUCAGUCAUGAGUGGAAUUACAGUGGAGCGUGAUUCCCCGUAUGCACUACUUUGCUCAAGGACCCCUGUGUGGUAUGAGAGAGCAAAGAAACUGGAAGGAUUUUACUAAGAAGAAGGUCUCUUACCUGGCUGGUCAGCUGCAGUGGGUACAACUGUGAGUGUUGGACUAGAUGGAGAUGGCACCGUAGUUAAAGACGAGGUGUCUGUCUGGCUUGAGAUGGUAGCAGCUGGCAUUGUGGGCAGAAAGCUCGUCACAAGUAGCACUUGGGACAGUAAAAUUACAGCGCUGAGUCGAGAGCCGAGAGAGUAAGUAAAGAGGGCCAGCUACCUCCUACUGUUAACACUUCUAUUUUUAAAUUUAGCUUUAGAAAAAACUCGUGCUUAUGCAAAAGAAUACAAAGUCUGUAAAAAUUACAAGUGAGUACAUCUAGUUGUAUAAUAUAGAAGUUUAAUCACUCAGAGCUGUUUCUAGUUUGUCUGUAUUGCAGUAAAUAUGUGAAGAAAAUGACGGAUUUUAUC